CACGCAUGACACACUGCAUAUCAAUAAGCGGAGGAAAAGAAACUAACAAGGAUUCCCUUAGUAACGGCGAGUGAAGCGGGAAGAGCUCAAAUUUGAAAUCUUCAAGGUUCUACCUUGACGAAUUGUAGUUUAUAGAAGUGUUUUCUGUUAGUAGAGUGGCAAAAGUUCUUUGGAAUAGGACAUCAUAGAGGGUGAGAAUCCCGUAUUUGGUCAUUCUUUCUAGCUUUGUGAUACACUUUCAACGAGUCGGAUUGUUUGGGAAUGCAGUCCAAAAUGGGUGGUAAAUUUCAUCUGAAGCUAAAUAUUGGCGAGAGACCGAUAGCGAACAAGUACCGUGAGGGAAAGAUGAAAAGAACUUUGAAAAGAGAGUUAAACAGUACGUGAAAUUGUCAAAAGGGAAGCGUUUGACACCAGUGUUGUUUUUCCGAAAAUCAAUUACGAAUGUUUUAUUUUUGAGGAAGUUAUGACUUCAUCGGCUUGCUCCUUUCUUUAUGAAACUUUCUUAAUGCACUUUUCGGUUAACAAGUCAACAUCAAUUUCUUUUGUUGUAAAAGGGUAUGAGGAAGGUGGCUUUACUUUUCGGAGUAAAGUGUUUAUAGCCUUGUACCUCUGCAAUCGGAGAGAUUGAGGUCAUGCAGCGUAGAUCCUUCGGGGGUUAGAUACAUUUGUGCUAAGUUAUAGCUUUUCAUAGACAACUUGUUGACUAUGUUAGUCUUGUAGCUUACUCGCUUAUCGCUAUUUUACCUACGCUUAGGAUGUUGACUGAUAUGUAGUCGUA
rnacentral:rRNA from 1 species